rnacentral:lncRNA from 1 species
AAAUGUGAUUUCAAAUUUUUUCUUUAUUUUCGAUCUACUUGUGAUUUUUUUUAGCAUGGAAAACGAAAGGCGUGUUUGAAACAACACCGAUGAAAGCCCACAUGUCUCGAAAAUAUGGAGAUUCAGGCUAGGAUUGUUUUUAUUAUUAUUUUCAUCAGAUUUUGCUUUGUUUUUUGGUAGAAUAGCACAACAUUUUAAGAUUUUUUCUUUUAAAAAAAAGAGAAAAAAGGGAGAAGGAGUGUGUUUACCCGAUCUCCGUGGGCGUGUCCUCC